UAUGACUCCCUGACUGUGAGGUUUUCACACGCGCGUAUAUAUUCAGGGACAGAUGCACGGCAGUGACUCGAGGCGACGCAGGAACGGCUGCCGGAAUAUCACAGAUUCUGUUUAAGGUUUGCAGUCUCGUGGCCGACGACAUCUCCGCCAAACACCAUUAGGCUCCAUUAGGCUCCGCGUAGGAUUUAAAUAAUCACAUAUGUAUAUUAGUGCUGGAUACCAGAGGCAGAGUUUGGUGAACCUCAUCAACGUUGCCCAGAGAGAAAAUUCCCCCGAGCGGACUGUAAAAGGCGCCGAGUCGACAAAGCCUUUUUUUUGUCCUUGCACAGGCUGUCAGCAGGUUCUCAGCAGGUUGUUUUCCUGAGAGUCAGUUUUGAUUCAACAUGCAAUCCAUUCUAAUACGGAGCGGCGAAUGUACGGCAGUGAAGCUUAAGUUCUGACUUGAGAGAAAACCAUUUGCCAAGGAUACGUAUGGAGUUACUCCAUUUAAAAUGAAACCUGAUGGAGGAGAGUCCGAAGGUUUCCGUGGCGAUGCGUGUGCUCGUCUGGAAUGUCCAUGUGUGCUGGGAGCCCCCUCCGUCCCACUGCGCCGCGGAGCCCCCCCCCGUGGUACGGAAAUCGCUCAGUCUCGCAGCCGCCGUGCAGACUUGCCUUUGCCUACAGCACAUUUAUAUUCAAAUGUGUCGGCGGUGCAUAAAAGUGCUGGCUGCGGCUGCGCAACUCAUCCGCUCGGCCGCCAACAAAGGUUGAGGCUUGGCGGAGGAGGGCAGCAGCCCGGCCGGUGAACGUAAAGCUGCAGUGUGCACUGUGAACGACACAUGCGAUAAACUUCUAUCUGCCUUUAAGGAUGGCGGGAGGACGCGGGUGGAGGUGCAGAGGCCUUUUGGAGGUCGAGGAGGUGAAGAAUUGAGUUUUUAGGAACGGGAGGGUGGGUAUAGUUGAAUAAUAGUGUUUUUUUAAAUAAAGGGGGCUAGUGUUCUUCUUUUAGGGCCAUCCUGGUGGAAGAAGCACGCAGGAAAAAAACUGAUUGAAAGCAGGCCUCACUGCCAGCGCUGGCAUUUUCCAUUCAUCCUAAAAUGAUCAGCUGCUACGCUUUUUUUUGUCUGCACUUUGUAUUUCAUCUCUCACCUCGGCUGGAUCAAGCUGGAGGUCUGGCAUCAGUCAUCCCGAUAAUAAGGAGAAAAUGAGAGAAGCGGAAGCCUUGAAAGGAAAUAUCCCUCAAAAGUGCCUCCCCCCCCCCCCUCCCUCCUCUCUGUCCCCACUCCAACCUCUCGACCUCCUAUUCCCAGGCUGCACCGCCAGCCGGGCUCGCCAUGGAGAGCAGGAAGCUGGACUGGGAACUGGGAACUGGGAGCUGGGAGCCCGCUGUCUCCAAGCCAAGGGAAGCCAGCAUGUCGGCAAGGAGAAGGUGGCCACUUUCCCAACUAUGAGCCAGAGUCAAACUGACAGCUACGUUCAGGAGACCCGGAGGAGGUGGGGCGGGGGGGGGCACAACGGGAAAAAAACAGCCCCGGGCGGACCAGCAUAAAAACACACAUUGUGCUCCAUCGUAUGAGGAAUAAUUAAAAUAUCCAUCCGGCACAAAGAGAGCCUGGGAAACAUGUGCGAGGCCUGUGUACGUUUUGGGAGGCUGGUUAAACCACAAGCCGAGAGGACUUUUUAGAACUCCCCGUUUUGUCACCAAGCAAAAACUAACAAACUUUAUUCCUGUGAUUACAGAAGUAAACAAUAUUUUUUUCCUUGAUGAAAAAUGUAAUUCAUACCACUGUUAUGAAUGCGUCAAUUUUUCUCGUUUUCAAUAUGAAUGCAAUAAUACCGAUGAGCAGAUUUCAUCAUUGUUAAAGUGGCUUUUUUGGGGCUUUUCAAAAUAAGAUACCACAGAAACAGCUACAUUCUUUGGAAAGGAGAAUAUGAAGAGUCCUGGACGCGCAGCUAAAUGAAGCACGCUAUGGUCAAGCUGGUUAAAACACACUGCUCACUUACAUUCUUGUGGCCGGGCGGAGGCUUUUUUGUCCUGUGUGUGUCAGUGGAGAAAAAAAAGGUUUAACAUCUGCCCCUCUGUUCUCACCCUAAGAGCUCCUUCAGGAUGUUUUCAACCACAUCACCAUUGUGGAAUGUCCCAAACGUUAGCUGGAUGCUCGGAAAUCGUUUUUUAAGUGCGGGGGAGAAAUGGUGUUUGUGUUUGGUUCAACGGGUUUCCACAAAACAUGUUUUGGAUUUGAGUUAAUUGUAAAUAUAUAAGCUCUGUGGGCUUAUUGGGUUGAUUUAGAAAUAGCCAUCAGAUGUUUGUACGUGACGUGAAGAAACACAAAACAGAAAAUAAAUAUGGAGAAUAGUUAAA